GGCCUCCGCCUGGAGCGCGCUGCUCCGGGGCGGCGGGGCUCGCUCUCCGGGUGCUGCUGCGGCGGGCGGCGGGCUCCGGGCCGGCCCCUGUUGCGGCGCGGGCCGAAUCGGCGGAGUCGGAGGUGCGGCGGCUGAGGGAAGCCCUCCCCGCCUUUCCUUUGUCCGUUCGCUCGUGGACUUACACGCGCACCCACUUAGGACAGACGCUCGGCUCCGGUGGACGCCGGCUACAAGAACCUCCAACUACCUGCAAAUCCGGUUAAUUCAUCUUGUUUCUGAUUAAGUUUGAUCCUGUGAGAAAUGACUACUGGCAGAAAAAUGAAGAAUAAAGUGGAAAUGAGUACACAAGCACAGCACAGAGAGCUAUUCAAAGCUACUGAGACCACACCUGGCCAGUCCGCUUAGUACAUCAGAAACUCAACUGCACUGAAUGGGGAAGAGCCUGAGCUUUUAACUGGCACAUGUCUGGAUCAGAAGCUAAAAAUCUAAACUACUAUACUCUUCUCCACUGGAAAUGGACAGAAUGGAUUUGAGAGUUGUCAGAAAGGUGACUAAAUCCAUUUACACAAUUACUCCAAAGUCCUGUAUACAACUGCCCUAUCAGAGAUUAAAGGAUUGCCCUAUCAGAGAUUAAAGGAUUCGAUAGUCAGCUAAGGAAAAUGGCUUGAGUAGAGAAAACAGUGGAGACAAACUUCAUGAAAUGAGAAGUCAAAUCUAAGCACCUAGGUUUUGAGACUGGCUACACACCUACAAUGUACAUCGUGUGACUGAGCAAGUUCCAAAUGAAUGUAAUGGCAGGGGCACAACAAUGGCGAUUCAGUGCUUCCUCUCCUGUCAGAUGGGCAGGAUGUAAAGUGGUGAGAAUGCCCGACAACUGACAACCUUUAGCAGGAGCUGUCCUCAUUAAAUGACAACCUUUGGCGGGAGCUGUCCUCAUUAAAUGAAUAGUGAACAAACCAGUGGUCCCACUGAAGCAGAGUUUGAGCUUAUUUUCACUACAAUUGUGCCUCACUUCUCUACCUUAUUGUUUUUACCCCUCUAGUUAGCAUUAUUCUUGUUCCUUGUCAGUUUUGGAGGAUGUUGCACAGAUAUAUGCAAUUUGUUGCUGGUUUUUUUUAGCAUAAACUGUCAGUAAACACAGCAAAUAUGGAAUGGUUUGGUUUUUUAAGCAGGUGUAAUGAUUUUAUUGGUUCCUAUCCUGUGUAACUCAUUCUCUAAAAUGAGAUUAUGUAUAUAAGAGCUAUUGUUCUUUCAACUGGAUUUGAGAUUAAGAAAUAUUAUUUUAAAAUAAAAGAAAAUCACAACACAAAAAUAUGGUUAUCCA